rnacentral:rRNA from 1 species
ACGGAAGGCAGCAGUGGGGAAUAUUGCACAAUGGGGGAAACCCUGAUGCAGCGACGCCGCGUGAGUGAAGAAGUUAUUCGUAAUGUAAAGCUCUAUCAGCAGGGAAGAAAAUGACGGUACCUGACUAAGGAGCCCCGGCUAACUACGUGCCAGCAGCCGCGGUAAUACGUAGGGGGCAAGCGUUAUCCGGAUUUACUGGGUGUAAAGGGAGCGUAGACGGUCUGGCAAGUCUGAUGUGAAAGGCAGGGGCUCAACUCCUGGACUGCAUUGGAAACUGUCAGUCUUGAGUGUCGGAGAGGUAAGCGGAAUUCCUAGUAUAGCGGUGAAAUGCGUAGAUAUUAGGAGGAACACCAGUGGCGAAGGCGGCUUACUGGACGAUAACUGACGUUGAGGCUCGAAAGCGUGGGGAGCAAACAGGAUUAGAUACCCUGGUA